rnacentral:rRNA from 1 species
GAUGAACGCUGGCGGCGUGCUUAACACAUGCAAGUCGAACGAUGAAGCCCAGCUUGCUGGGUGGAUUAGUGGCGAACGGGUGAGUAACACGUGAGUAACCUGCCCUUAACUCUGGGAUAAGCCUGGGAAACUGGGUCUAAUACCGGAUAGGAGCGCCUACCGCAUGGUGGGUGUUGGAAAGAUUUAUCGGUUUUGGAUGGACUCGCGGCCUAUCAGCUUGUUGGUGAGGUAAUGGCUCACCAAGGCGACGACGGGUAGCCGGCCUGAGAGGGUGACCGGCCACACUGGGACUGAGACACGGCCCAGACUCCUACGGGAGGCAGCAGUGGGGAAUAUUGCACAAUGGGCGAAAGCCUGAUGCAGCGACGCCGCGUGAGGGAUGACGGCCUUCGGGUUGUAAACCUCUUUCAGUAGGGAAGAAGCGAAGGUGACGGUACCUGCAGAAGAAGCAUCGGCUAACUACGUGCCAGCCGCCGCCGUAA